GUAUUGGCCUACCGUGGCGAUGACGGGUAACGGGGAAUUAGGGUUCGAUUCCGGAGAGGGAGCCUGAGAAACGGCUACCACAUCUAAGGAAGGCAGCAGGCGCGCAAAUUACCCAAUCCUAAUACAGGGAGGUAGUGACAAGAAAUAACAAUACAGGACUUUUUGGUUUUGUAAUUGGAAUGAGUUAAGUAUAAACCCCUUUACAAGUAUCAAUUGGAGGGCAAGUCUGGUGCCAGCAGCCGCGGUAAUUCCAGCUCCAAUAGCGUAUAUUAAAGUUGUUGCAGUUAAAAAGCUCGUAGUUGGAUUUCUGUUAAUAAUUUAUAUAAAAUAUUUUGAAUAUUUAUAUAACAUUAACAUAAUUCAUAUUACUAUAUUUUUUAGUAUAUGAAAUUUUACUUUGAGAAAAUUAGAGUGCUUAAGGCAGGCAUAUGCCUUGAAUACUCCAGCAUGGAAUAAUAUUAAAGAUUUUUAUCUUUUUUAUUGGUUCUAAGAUAAGAAUAAUGAUUAAUAGGGACAGUUGGGGGCAUUUGUAUUUAA
rnacentral:rRNA from 1 species